rnacentral:piRNA from 1 species
AUGUUGCAAAUGAGAAUGCCUGUUUUGAAA